CAGUAGCCACGGGAAUACGGAGGGAGCUAGCGUUGUUCGGAAUUACUGGGCGUAAAGCGCACGUAGGCGGUUAUUCAAGUCAGAGGUGAAAGCCCGGGGCUCAACCCCGGAACUGCCUUUGAAACUAGAUGACUGGAAUCUUGGAGAGGUCAGUGGAAUUCCGAGUGUAGAGGUGAAAUUCGUAGAUAUUCGGAAGAACACCAGUGGCGAAGGCGACUGACUGGACAAGUAUUGACGCUGAGGUGCGAAAGCGUGGGGAGCAAACAGGAUUAGAUACCCCGGUAGUCCCUGUCUCUUAUAC
rnacentral:rRNA from 1 species